AAAAACAUCGUCUUUUGUUAACUCACAUAAAAGAUAAUGCCUGCCCAGUGAAAAUUUUAAACGGCCGCGUUAGCGUGAGCGUGCUAAGGUAGCGUAAUAAAUAGCCUUUUAAUUGGAGGCCAGUGAAUGGCAAGACUAGGGAUAUCUGUACCCUGUAUAAAAAAACAACUUUUCAUCUGGGUGAAAAGACCCAGAUAAUAAAGGAAGACGAAAAGACCCCGCGGAACUUUACCUUUUCCAGUCUCCAUAUGCUCAGAAACACAAAUAACAAAAGGUUUGAUUGGGGCAAUCUCGGAACCAUCCAAACUUCCGACUCACAACACAAAAGUAUACAAAACUUAAUAAGGACCAAAAAGAAGUUACCCCGGGGAUAACAGCGUAAUCCAACUUGAGAGUACAC
rnacentral:rRNA from 1 species